AUGUUUCUUCUGUAACGUCAUAUAUGUUCGUGAAAAAUACCUCAUGUUCAGAAAAAUUGUGCAUCUGAAAGAAGCCAUACUUAUAGGGAAAAAAGAAGGUUAACAUUGACUACUCAAAAUCUGUGUAGUUUGGUACUCUCUGAAAUAGUGAUCAGUCCCAGGGGAAGUGCUCCUAUGCCCCCCUCCCGUCCCCUCACAGGUAAUGUAAGUGGACACUGCUGUAGGUUACAUUAGAGCAGAAGAACGGGCCUGGUGGACGCUAGACCUUGCAGAAGGGAAGUGGAGCUGAGUUACAGGGGCUGCUGAAUGGUAUUACCUGCUGAGCGCCGGACGGCAGGAAUUAACAUUCUUGGAGAUGUUGGAAAAGGAUUCCUGGGCCUUGCAAGGUAAUUACUCCACAUCUACAGGGGAGGUAGCAUAUCACGGAGAGCGGAGAGACGUCCGUGUUCUUGAUUCUCACUUGGCAAGUCUCAGUUCCUUGAUGGCUCUUGGCUAAAGACUUCAGUUCUUCACCGAGUGAACAUAGGCUGCCUGAGUAUCCCCACAACGUGACAGCUGGCUUCCACCACAAGCAGUGAUCUAAGAAAGAAAUGCCAAGACAACAUUUCUUCUAGGUGGAAGUGGUUGGAGAAGCUGGAGGUAGACUGUAUAUAGAAGCACAUGUGCUAUUUUGCCUGCAGUGCACACUGACUUGGUGGAAAUUCCUGUUUCAAGUGUUUCGAGGAAUGUAGUCCACAAAUACUUAAAGGCACUUAUUGAAAUAUUUGACAUAGGACGGAAUGAAGGCACAAAUAUGCUACUGCAGCUUUAAAGCAAUUGGUCCUUUUCCUCAAAAGCUCGAUAUUUAUCCACUAUGGAAUGAAAUUGAAGGGUGUUUUUUUUAACAUUUUGUCAGAUUCAUCUGAUAAAUGUGAACGUUUAUAUAGAAGACAUAAAAGUUGGUGAAAAACUUUUUGUUUAUAUGCCUUAAUGAAAAGAUGUACAAAAUAAGUGUAUCAGAAACAAAACUAAAACCUUAAUGGGAUGGAUCUGUCACAGGAGUAAACAUGGUGUCUGCUGAAUGGUACGGAAUAAGUUGUAAACACACAGUCUGGUGCCUUGUGAUGACUGAAAAGUUACACAGGACAAUAGUAGAUUUGUCCAGAACUUUACUCUUUUGCAAACCUCAACAUUAUUGAAAUGAGGGAGGGGGCCUAAAUUCUCAAAAGGAUGUCUUUGGACUGUCUGCAAACCCUAAUAUGAAGAGUUAUAUAUUACAUGGUCUCCAAACAUUUUUCUAGCUCCAGUGAGUAAUUCAGUCUGGAGCUAACAUUCCUUUGAAAGAACCUUCAGUUUUUUAUUUUGAUCUAGAAUUAUGUUUGGCUAGUAGUUAAAUUGGUUUAAAAGUUGACUUGACUAUUUUGUGAACUAAUAGAAGUUUUUCUUUUUAGAUACAGGUAGUCUUUACUUUGCACCGUUCCAAUAUGCAUGAAGAUGAGUUUUUACAGUUAAGUAACACCAAUUCCCCUACAACAUGGUUGAAAUUUCAGUUACUACGAUAGUAACCAAAUUGUUGCAUAAGCUUUUCUGAAGCUCUUUAUUCCACCAAUGAUUAUAUAUAUAAAAGAUGGUCAGUAACCACUUAUAAUCACUUCUUUCAGAAGUCUUUUAGUCAGUGAUCAUUGAUCACUGAACAUUUAUCAGUUCACAAAGAGUAAAGCAUGUAGUUGUGUUGCCUGUUUCCCAGUGGUAAACUCCCCAACAUUUUACAAAAAUGGAUCACCAAAGAGGGAAUUGGUCAAUAAAGAUGAUAGGGCAGCAAAGAGACAAAAAUUGGAAACACUGGAAGUGACAUUGGACGUCAUUAGAAGAUUGGAAAAUGGUGACAGCAGAGCGAAGAUGAUAAGACCUGGGCUGACAUGAGCCUGUAUUUAUUUGACAGACAGAGCUCACAAGUAGACAGAGAGGCAGGCAGAGAGAGAGAGAGAGAGGGAAGCAGGCUCCCUGCUGAGCAGAGAGCCCGAUGUGGGGCUCCAUCCCAGGACCCUGAGAUCAUGACCUGAGCCGAAGGCAGCGGAUUUAACCCACGGAGCCACCCAGGCGCCCAAUAUGAACCAUCUUUUAAAAGUUCAAUGAAACAAGAACUUUGGGGCACCUGGGUGGCUCAGUGGGUUAAGCCUCUGCCUUCAGCUCAGGUCAUGAUCUCAGGGUCCUGGGAUCGAGCCCUGAGUCCAGCUCUCUGCUCAGCAGGGAGCCUGCUUCCUCUUCUCUCUCUGCCUGUUUCUCUGCCCACUUGUGAGCUGUGUCAACUAAAUUAAAAAAAAAAAAAGAACUUUAAGGGAGAGUUACUUAAACAUGUUUUAGUUUAAAUUGUACUAGGAACAGAAAGCCAUGUAUGGUCGAAAUGGAGUGCUGACUUCUACUUUCAACUGAGGGCUCUAAUAAAUAA